UGCGUAGGCGGUCAUGAAAGUUAGAAGUGAAAGCCCAAGGCUCAACCUUGGAAUUGCUUUUAAAACUACAUGACUCGAAUUCGGGAGAGGAUAGCGGAAUUGUCAGUGUAGCAGUGAAAUGCGUAGAUAUUGACAGGAACACCGGUGGCGUAAGCGGCUAUCUGGACCGACAUUGACGCUGAGGCACGAAAGCGUGGGGAUCAAACAGGAUUAGAUACCCUGGUAGUCCACGCCGUAAACGAUGUAUGUUUGUCGCUGGGAGGUUUACCUUUCGGUGACGGAGCUAACGCGUUAAGCAUACCGCCUGGGAAGUACGGUCGCAAGAUUAAA
rnacentral:rRNA from 1 species